GGUGUCCGAGACCUAGUUCCGGGCGGCACCACUUUCCUCACUUCCGGUCCCGGGGAGUUUGGAGGUCGGCCCGGGGCGGGAAACCUGUGUCUGGGGACAUCUUGGGGAGCUGUCUCGCGGCUGCCAGGAGUGGAAAUCCACUAUGUAUACUCUGAUGGCCUCUUCAGGUGACAGCACUUUUAUGAUGUAAAUGGAUAUUAAAUUUUGUGAGAUGCUUUUUCAGCACCUGCUGAGGUUCGUCUUGUUUAGAACUCUCUGUGCCUCCUGGACCUGGAAGUCUGUUUCCUUCCCCAGAUUAGGAAAGUUUUCAGCCAUUAUUUUUUCAAUCCUUCGGAUCAUGCCAGGCAUGCACACCAGGGCAGAAAACCUUGGGAACUUUCUUGUGAUUCUGCCUACCACUGCACCUUCUGGCUUCUGGAGAGUCCGAGUUGGAAAUUGACUGCCUUGGGCCUGUCAUUCUUUUGGGAUUAAGUGCAGUUGCCACUCAGUCUCCUAGAACGUCGCCCUCAGAGGCGUCCCCCACCGUGGACAGCACAGACGAGGACCCUGAACCAGAGGUCACCCCACCACCCUGAAGCAGCCAGGAAAGUUAGAGUCCCAGAACCUACCAGUUAACAGAUGGAAGCUGAACUAAGCAAAGCAGCAAAAAGGAAAUGAUGAUGUGAAAUAAAUUAUAAUAAUAAUGUAAGAGAAAGACACAAAAUGAUGGCAAUUGCAUGGAACUGUCCC